rnacentral:pre_miRNA from 1 species
GUUCUUCAUCCAGGUGCUGGAUCAGUGGUUUGAGUCUGAGCCCCUGAAAGCCACUCUAGCAACGGAUGCUGUUAUUGGAGCCAUGACAA